rnacentral:rRNA from 1 species
GACGAACGCUGGCGGCGUGCUUAACACAUGUAAGUCGAACGGAGUGGCGAACGGGUGAGUAACACGUUGGUGACCUGCCCUUCACUUCGGGAUACGCCUGGGAACAUGGGUCUAAUACCGGAGAGUGUGGGAGGGGAGCGCGGCCUAUAGGCGUGUUGGAGGGGUAAUGGCAUGCAAAGGGGGCGACGGGGAGCCGGCCUGAGAGGGUGGACGGCCACAUUGGGACUGAGACACGGCCCAGACUCCUACGGGAGGCAGCAGUGGGGAAUAUUGCACAAUGGGCGGAAGCCUGAUGCAGCGACGCCGCGUGGGGGAUGACGGCCUUCGGGUUGUAAACUCCUUUCACCAUCGACGCGGUAGAUGGAGAAGAAGCACCGGCUAACUACGUGCCAGCAGCCGCGGUAAUAC